rnacentral:rRNA from 1 species
AUACGGAGGGUGCAAGCGUUACUCGGAAUCACUGGGCGUAAAGCGCGCGCAGGCGGUCUUUUAAGUUGGAUGUGAAAGCCUACGGCUCAACCGUAGAACUGCAUCCAAAACUAUUAGACUAGAGUGUGGGAGAGGAAGAUGGAAUUAGUUGUGUAGGGGUAAAAUCCGUAGAGAUACCUAUGAAUACCAAAAGCGAAGGCAAUCUUCUGGAACACUACUGACGCUGAGGCGCGAAAGCGUGGGGAGCAAACAGGAUUAGAUACCCUAGUAGUCC